rnacentral:rRNA from 1 species
GAUGAACGCUGGCGGCGUGCCUAAUACAUGCAAGUCGAGCGAACGGGCGAGAAGUUUGCUUCUCUGAUGUUAGCGGCGGGCGGGUGAGUAGCACGUGGAUAACCUACCUAUAAGACUGGGAUAACUUCGAGAAGCCGGAGCUAAUACCGGAAAAUUUUUUGAACCGCAUGGUUCAAAAGUGAAAUACGGUCGUGCUGUCACUUAUAGAUGGAUCCUCGCUGCAUUAGCUAGUUGGUAAGGUAACGGCCUACCAAGGCAACGAUGCAUAGCCGACCUGGGAGGGUGAUCGCCCACCUGGGAACGGGGACAGGCUCCAGACUCCUACGGGAGGCAGCAGUAGGGAACCUGCCGCAGUGGGCGAAAGCAUGACGGAGCAACGCCGCGUGAGUGAUGAAGGUCUUCGGAUCGUAAAACUGUGUUAUUAGGUAAGAACAUAUGUGGAAGUAACUGUGCACAUCGUGACGGUACCUAAUCAGAAAGCCACGGCUAACUACGUG